AUGGAGGUGGCCGCAGGCGCAGCACGAUGGGUGGUGGGCAAGGCGCUGGGCCCUGUCGCCGAUGGCUUGCUGGAGGCAUGGGCUGCGAGCAAGGAGCUAGGCCCUAACGUUGACGCGCUAAAGAUGGAGCUGCUCUACGUGCAGGGGAUGCUCAACAACACCCGCGGCCGAGACAUCGACAACCCUGCACUCAACGUGCUACUGCAGAAGCUGCGGGACCUCGCGUACAAUGCCGAGGAUGUGUUGGACGAGCUCGACUACUUCCGCAUCCAGGACCAGCUGGAGGGUACUUACGAGGCUGCCGACGAGCAUGCCAAGGGAUGCAUGUGCAACCUCUACCUCCACGCUCAUCACACCGCUAGAGCUGCUGGCAAACUGCUCUGCUUCUGUCCGUGCUCACGUGCGGCUGGUCAUAGUACUGAUCCGAGUGAGCAAAGGGAAGAAGAUACAAGGCAACAAGUACUCUGCUGCGCUUGGCCAUGUGCCAAGCAGCGGAGUGCACGCGGAAACACCCCGUCAGCGCCACACAACCACCAGGCCAACGAAGAGGUCAGAAGAUGCAUGCGCAAGCUCGCUUCUGGUGCUUGCAACACCAUCCGUCAUGUUGGUAAACUCCUCCAUUGCUCAUCCCUCCCAACUCAUGAUGAUGAUAGUUCUGUCAUGCCAGUCAUUUGCGGUGCCUGCAAGCACAAGGCAUCCCUGAAAAAGCAUGUGAAAGAAACUCCAAAACUAGAGUUUGAUAGGGUGGAUCUGUCUAAAAGAAUGAAGCAUAUUGUAGAGCAACUGCAGCCAGUAUGUGCAAAGGUCAAAGCCAUUCUUAAUCUAGAGUUGUUGGGUUCUAGCCAUACUACCGCCCCAAGCAUUGCCAAGAGUCCAUCCACCACCACCUCUGACAUUAUAGAGUCAACACUGUACGGGAGAGAAACUGCGAAGAAGAGCAUCAUAGAUAGUAUUACUCAUGUUAAAUAUAGUGACAAAGACCUAAUUAUCCUGCCAAUUGUUGGUUCGGGUGGCAUAGGGAAGACAACUCUCGUACAACACAUAUAUCACAGCCAAGAAGUGCAAAAACAUUUUCAGGUCAAGGUCUGGAUAUGUGUAUCUCAGAAUUUCAUUGUUAAUAAGCUGACUGAAGAGAUUGAAAAAGCAAUACCUAGUGUGGAAGGUGAAAAAGGGGGUAGAGCAGAAGUGUUAAUUGAACAGAGAUUAAAUUCUAAAAGGUUUCUGCUUGUAUUAGAUGAUAUUUGGAAGUGUGAAUCUGAGGACUGGGAAAGGCUUUUAGUACCACUCAGAAAAGGGCAGACAAAGGGCAAUAUAAUUUUAGUGACAACUCGGUUUCCAGCUGUAGCAGAAAUGGUUAAAACAACUGAUAGUUCAAUAGAUCUGAAGGGCUUAGAACAAGGAGUGUUUACAGAUUUUUUUCGAGCAUGCAUUUUUCGUGAUAAGCAAUCACAAAAAGAUCAUCAUGGGUUACUUGAGAUUGGGGAUAAGAUAGCAGAAAAGCUAAAGGGAUCCCCUCUUGCAGCAAAAACUGUAGGUAGAUUAUUGAGAAACCACCUUGAUGUGUAUCAUUGGAAUAGAGUCCUAGAAAGUAGAGAAUGGGAAAUGCAGACCGGUGAGCGUGACAUUAUGCCUGCAUUGAAACUUAGCUAUGAUUAUCUGUCUUUUCAUCUGCAGCAAUGUUUUUCUCGUUGUGCUUUAUUUCCUGAAGAUUACGAGUUUAACAGUGAAGAGCUCAUUCAUUUCUGGAUAGGACUGGAUAUUUUGCCUUCUGGUGAUCGAAAUAAAACAGUUGAAGAUGUAGGUGUGGACAUUUUAAAUGAUUUGGUCAACCAUGGAUUUUUCAAAAAAGAUGAAACUGGUGGGCAUCCAUAUUAUAUCAUUCAUGACCUGCUGCAUGAUUUAGCUUUGAAGGUUGCAUCUCAUGAAUGUCUUAGUUUGCAUCACUCUAAUGUAAGAUCAGUAGAAAUUAGGCCAUCUAUCCGUCACUUAUCGAUCAUAAUAGAUGGUCCAGAUGAUAGUAAUGGAAUUACUGAUGAGACCUUUAAGAGUGAGUUGAGGAAACUUAAGACAAAAUUGAAGGUUGAAAACUUGCAAACAUUAAUUAUAUUUGGAGGAGAAGAUGAAAGCUUUGUCAGCAUAUUUGGUGAUCUGUUCAUGGAAGCAAAUGCUCUCCGUGUUCUUUGUUUGCCCACAUUGUCAUAUCCCCUGGAAUCCAUGUUGCAUAACUUUUCAUCACUUCUGCACCUACGAUUCCUAAAGCUAGGGACUUCAAUCAGCCAGAUGCAUUUACCAACAACCUUAUCCCGAUUUUAUCAUUUGAAGAUAUUGGAUCUACAAGAAUGGGAUGGUUCUUUACUUUUACCUAGAGACAUGAGUAACCUUGCAAAAUUGUGCCAUUUUCUUGCCCAAUAUGGUGAUCUUUAUUCGGGUAUUUAUAAUGUCGGGAAACUAAAACUCUUACAGGAGUUAAAGGUUUUUGCAGUCAAUAAAGAAAGUGAAGGGUUUGAACUAAAUCAACUAGAGCAUCUCAACGAGAUAAGAGAGCUUGGGAUUUAUAACCUUGAGAAAAUACAUACCAAAGACAAAGCAGUUGAAGCAAAACUGAUAGACAAAAACUACUUGCACAAGUUAACAUUAUGUUGGGAUAGUGAGCGGUCCAAUAUUGAAUCCGAUGUGGAAGCAGUGGUUCUAGAGAGCCUUCGACCACAUAGAAAUCUUCAAGAGUUGUGCAUUAGAGGACACAGAGGUCCUUGUCCAGCGUGGUUGGGUGAUAAGCUCGUUGUUGAGGCUCUACAGACUCUUUGUCUGGUUGGUGUUUCUUGGGGUGUUUUUCCUUCUUUGGGGAAGAUGUGGGAUCUUCGUGAACUAACAGUGGAGAAUAUUGCCACAAUAAAGGAGUUUAGUCUAGAGCAAAGCUUUUGCAAGCUAGUAAAACUUACACUCGUGGACUUAGAAAAUUUUGAAAAAUGGGUACCACUGGCCACUCAUUUGUUCCCUUGUUUGCAAGAAUUGACUAUUAUAGAUUGCCCUAAACUCUCGGAGUUGCCAUGUUCAAGCCACAUUGUUUACCCACUGAAACAAGACUGGAACAUAGAUUGGUUUCCCAAACUACAAAAACUCAGGAUAGAAAAUUGCCCUGGAGUCUUCCUACUGCCUCCUAUCCCUUGGACUCAUACUUUGAGCAACGUCUCGAUAAGUGGCGUGGGAUCAAAGCUACCAAACCAGUUAGUCUACUCUAGAGUAGCAUUACAAAUUACUGGAAAGGAUGGUAUGCAUAGCUUAGAUCAGCUGUUACUAUUCAGUCAACUAACAGAACUUCAGGAAUUGGAGUUCGAAAAGUGCCCACCUUUGAAGCUGGAGCAUUUUCUAAUGUUAACCUCAUUGAAGAGAUUGUGGGCAUGGUCGUCAAAUCAUCGCGUGUUGCCAUCAGAAGUUCAGAGUGGUGUCCAAUGGCAGCAUCCUGUCGAGGACAUUCUUAUUUGCAGAUCUCGUUCUAGUGGAAAGGAAUUGACACAGUUCUUAUCUCACCUCCCAAAGCUAUCCAAACUGGGAUUAUAUAGUUGUGAAAACAUAACACAGGUUGCUGUGGGGGUGGAUUUGCAGCAAACAAGAGCACCAGUAGUAUCAUCGUCAACCUCUUCAGAUGUUACAAUGGAUGAUACACUAGCAAAAGAUGAGCUGCAAGAAAUAGCAGAGGUGGAGGAGGUGGGGGCAAACACGGUGGAUGAUGAUGGGCUGUUGGUCCUCCCUGCACAUCUCUCCAACUCUCUGCAGGCGUUGGACAUCAGAAGUGGUGGUCUGGUAGUUCAUUCCCUCGAUGCUCUCAAAGCCCUAACUACCCUGGAGUUAAAAGAUUGUUCUUUUCGCCACCCUUUCCCGUCCUCCCUGCUAGCCCUGGAACUUACGUCCGUAAACGGCGUGCUGACCCUUUCAAACCUCACCUCUCUCACCCGAUUGUGCAUAUAUCGUUGCAAAGAGGAUUUAAGAUGCGAGGGCCUGUUGCCUCUCCUUACUCGGGGCCACCUCAGCCAUUUAGAUGUCCAACGAAUCCCCAAUUUCUUUGGUGCGUGGGACCCUAUGUGGGGGAUGCAGGAGGAGCAAAAUAAGAGGACAGAAUCCAAACUGCAGUAUCUCAAGACAGAUGACAUGGAGGGCUUCCUCGAUGCGCCCGCCCUCUGUAGCCUCCUCUCUUCCUCCCUCACAUCGUUGGACUUUAUUGGGAACCGAGAGAUGGCGCGCUUCACAAAGGAGCAGGAGGAGGCCUUUCAACGCCUCACCUCGCUCCAGGAACUCCAGUUUCGGUUUUGCGACGAGUUGGAGCACCUCCCUGCAGGGCUAAACAAGCUGACCAACCUCAAGAUAUUAGGGAUCUGGAGGUGUCCAGCCCUCCGGUCGCUGCCCAAGGAUGGCCUCCCGAGUUCACUACGAGAAUUAGAUGUCCAGUAUUGCGGCAACGACGAGCUAACAGAGCAGUGCAAGCGGUUAAUGGGAACCAUCCCAGAAAUCAAACUAUAG
rnacentral:rRNA from 1 species